rnacentral:rRNA from 1 species
UACGUAGGGUGCGAGCGUUAAUCGGAAUUACUGGGCGUAAAGCGUGCGCAGGCGGUUGGCAAAGUCAGCUGUGAAAUCCCCGGGCUCAACCUGGGAAUUGCAUUUGUGACUGCACGGCUAGAGUGUGUCAGAGGGGGGUAGAAUUCCACGUGUAGCAGUGAAAUGCGUAGAGAUGUGGAGGAAUACCGAUGGCGAAGGCAGCCCCCUGGGGAUAACACUGACGCUCAUGCACGAAAGCGUGGGGAGCAAACAGG